CAGCCGCCACGGUAAUACGAGGGGAGCUAGCGUUAUUCGGAAUUACUGGGCGUAAAGCGCACGUAGGCGGCUUUGUAAGUUAGAGGUGAAAGCCCAGAGCUCAACUCUGGAAUUGCCUUUAAGACUGCAUCGCUUGAAUCCAGGAGAGGUGAGUGGAAUUCCGAGUGUAGAGGUGAAAUUCGUAGAUAUUCGGAAGAACACCAGUGGCGAAGGCGGCUCACUGGACUGGUAUUGACGCUGAGGUGCGAAAGCGUGGGGAGCGAACAGGAUUAGAUACCCGUGUAGUCCCUGUCCUUAUACA
rnacentral:rRNA from 1 species